UACGUAGGGUGCGAGCGUUGUCCGGAAUUACUGGGCGUAAAGAGCUCGUAGGUGGUUUGUCGCGUUGUUCGUGAAAUCUCACGGCUUAACUGUGAGCGUGCGGGCGAUACGGGCAGACUGGAGUACUGCAGGGGAGACUGGAAUUCCUGGUGUAGCGGUGGAAUGCGCAGAUAUCAGGAGGAACACCCGUGGCGAAAGCGGCUCUCUGGGACGGUACUGACGCUGAGACGCGAAAGCGUGGGGAGCAAACAGG
rnacentral:rRNA from 1 species